rnacentral:rRNA from 1 species
CCCUUAGAUGUUCUGGGCCGCACGCGCGCUACACUGAUUCAUGCAACGAGUUUUGUCCUUGGCUGAAAGGCCUGGGUAAUCUUUGAACGUGAAUCGUGCUGGGGAUAGAUGAUUGCAAUUAUUCAUCUUCAACGAGGAAUUCCUAGUAAACGCAAGUCAUCAGCUUGCAUUGAUUACGUCCCUGCCCCUUGUACACACCGCCCGUCGCACCUACCGAUUGAAUGGUCCGGUGAAAUCUUCGGAUCUGAGAGAUGUUGGAUUAAUUUCUGACGCCUUUUGGAAAAGUCGCUUAAACCUUAUCAUUUAGAGGAAGGUGAAGUCGUAACA